rnacentral:lncRNA from 1 species
AUGGGGUCUCUAUGGGGCUCUAUGGGAUCUCUAUGUGUCCCUAUGGGGCUCUAUGGUGUCUCUAUGGGCUCCAUUUGUCUCUAUGGGUCCCUAUGGGUCUCUAAGGGUCCCUAUUGGUCCCUAUGGGGCUUUAUGGGGCACUAUGGGGUGUCUGUUGGUCUCUAUGGGUCCCUAUGGGUCUCUAUGGAGUCUCUAUGGGUCCCUAUUCGUCCCUAUGGGGUCUCUAUGGGGUCUCUAUGGGGUCUCUAUGGUUGCCUGUUGGUCUCUAUGGGGUCUCUAUGGGUCCCUAUGGGUCUUUAUGGAGUCUCUAUGGGUCCCUAUGGGGUCCCUAUGGGUCUCUAUGGGUCUCUAUGGGUGCCUAUUGGUCCCUAUGGGGUCUCUAUGGGGCUCUAUAGGGGCUCGAUGGUGUGUCUAUGGGUCUCUAUGAGUCUCUAUGGGUUACUAUGGGGUCUCUGUGGGGCUCUAUGGGGCUCUAUGGGGUGUCUAUGGGUCUCUAUGGGUCCCUAUUGGUCCCUAUGGUGUACUAUGGGGCUAUAUGGCGUCUCUAUGGGGCUCUAUGAUUUGCUAUGGGUUGCUAUGGGGUGUGUACAGGUCACUAUGGGGCAGAGUGGUGUCUCUAUGGGGCACUAUGGGGUGCCUAUGGGGCUCUAUGGGUCCCUAUGGGUUGGCUAUGGGUCCCUAUGGGGACUCUAUGGGGCACUAUGUGGCGCUAUGGGUCCCUAUUGGUCCCUAUGGGGUCUCUAUGGGGUCCCUAUGAGCCUUUUUGGGUUGGCUAUGGGGCUCUAUGUGUCCCUAUUGCGCCCUAUGGGACUCUAUGGGGCUCUAUGGGGUGGCUAUGGGGCUCUAUUGGUCCCUAUUGAUCUCUAUGGGGUCUCUAUGGUUCUCUAUGGGGUUCUAUGGGGUGGCUAUGGGGCUCUAUGGGUCCCUAUUGGUCCCUAUGGGUACUAUGGGGUAGAGUGGGGUCUCUAUGGGGCACUAUGGGUUGGCUAUAGGGCUCUAGGGGUCCCGAUGGGUCCCUAUGGGGUCUCUAUGGGAUCCCUUAGGGGGCUCUAUGGGGCUAUAGGGUGUGGCUAUGGGACUCUAUGGAUCCCUAUUGGUCCCUAUGGGGUCUCUAUGGGGUACUAUGGGGUGCUAUGGGGUCACUAUAGGUCUCUAUGGGGUGGCUAUGAGUCUCAAUGUGUCUCUAUGGGUCCCUAUGUAUCUCUAUGGGUCCCUAUGUGUCCCUAUGGGUCUCUAUGGGGUACCUACAUGUCCCUAUGUAUCUCUAUGGGGUCCCUAUGUGUCCCUAUGGGGUCCCUAUAUGUCCCUAUGUAUCUCUAUGGGGUCCCUAUAUGUCCCUAUGUCCCCCUAUGGGGUCCCUAUGUGUCUCUAUGUGUCCCUAUGUAUCUCUAUGGGGUCCCUAUAUGUCCCUAUGUAUCUCUAUGGGGUUCCUAUGUGUCUCAAUGGUUCCCUAUUAAUCCCUAUGGGUUGCAAUGA